rnacentral:rRNA from 1 species
UACGUAGGGUGCGAGCGUUAAUCGGAAUUACUGGGCGUAAAGCGUGCGUAGGCGGUUUUGUAAGCCAGAUGUGAAAUCCCCGGGCUUAACCUGGGAAUGGCAUUUGGGACUGCAAGGCUUGAGUGCGGCAGAGGAGACUGGAAUUCCUGGUGUAGCAGUGAAAUGCGUAGAUAUCAGGAGGAAUACCGAUGGCGAAGGCAGGUCUCUGGGCUGACACUGACGCUCAUGCACGAAAGCGUGGGGAGCAAACAGG